rnacentral:tRNA from 1 species
GGGGCGAAUGUUCCAAGGAGGCGAGGCGGUCUCCAAAACCGCUUGGGUGGGUUCGAUUCCCAACCGUCCCUGCCA